AGAGUUUGCAAGUUUUGCAAAUUAGUUAUGGACUUUGGGAGUGCUUCCAUGUAAUAACCACAAAUUUGAAGAUAUCUCAAAUACUUCAAUUUUGCUAUUGAAUUUGGCAUUUCAAUAAUAUCUGUCCCGAAAUCCCCUUCCAAAUACAAGGCAUGCAACCUUUUUAAUUCCAAGGCUUCUAAGGCUUGUAACUUUUGAAAAUUUGAAAAGAUCUUAUUUUCAAAUAUAUACCCUCCUAAAUGCAAGGAACGUAACUUUUGAAAAUUUGAAAAGAUCUUAUUUUCAAAUAUAUACCCUCCUAAAUGCAAGGAAC
rnacentral:misc_RNA from 1 species